UACGAACCGUACAAACGUUAUUCGGAAUCACUGGGCAUAAAGCGCGCGUAGGCGGGUUUCCAAGUCGGUUGUGAAAUCCCUCAGCUCAACUGAGGAACUGCAUCCGAUACUGUUUGUCUUGAGGACGGGAGGGGAGAGUGGAACUUCUGGUGAAGCGGUGAAAUGCGUAGAUAUCAGAAGGAACGCCGGUGGCGAAAGCGACUCUCUGGCCCGUAACUGACGCUGAGGAGCGAAAGCGUGGGGAGCGAACAGG
rnacentral:rRNA from 1 species